AGGAAGUAAUAAGUCCAAAACAGAAGGAGUCUGUGGAGGUGAACCGGGGGGUCCUGCACGGGGCAUGUGUUGCUGCUGCUUCGGUGCUCUGGAGCGGAUUUCUUGUUCGGAGCCUGAUGUGGACUUUCCCACGCCGGGAUGAACACGAUGCCGCCGGUCGCAGCGGCUGAGGCGGAGGCGGAGGAAGAGGAUGACGCCGAGCCGGAGGAAGAGUCUCUGCAGAUUUUAUAGCACACCUCCUUGGGCACGAAGCACAGACUCUCCGGUACAGGCUCAGUCCUCCUGAAACACUCAAUACAGCGGUUGAGGAAGCGGAUUCUGCCCAGGAGGAGAAACUCCUCCGAGCUGUCAGCUCCAACUAACUUCCGGGUCCGAAGGGCGCAUCGUCGUGACGUCAUCACGGCACAGCGUAGCCGGAAGUUAAAUCCCCUCCCCGGUAUUUGCUUGUUAAAAGUCAGUAUAUUUAUAUAAAAUAAAUAUUUGUUUUUCUCA